rnacentral:rRNA from 1 species
AAUCAUUAGUCUUUUAAUUUGAGACUGGAAUGAAUGGUUGGACUAAAUAAAAUUGUCUCACUUUAAUAUUUUAAAUUUUAUAUUUUAGUAAAAAAGCUAAAAUUAAUUUUAAAGACGAGAAGACCCUAUCAAGCUUUAUAAUCAAAUUUUAUUUUCAAAAUAAAAUUCAAAUUAUUUUACUGGGGCAGUAGACAGAAAACUUCUGUUUAAUUAUUGUGAAACUUUAACUUGUUAAAACAAAAAAUUUUUAAAAAAAAAUAAGUUACUGUAGGGAUAACAGCAUAAUUUUUUUAAAGAGAUCUUAUUAUCAAAAAAGUUUGUGACCUCGAUGUUGGAUUAAGAUACCUACUUCACGCAAUAGUAAACUAAGG